rfam:Ictidomys tridecemlineatus contig041045, whole genome shotgun sequence.
AAACAGGUUUUAUUCAAAACCAGCUUUAAAGAAAGAAAGGUGGAAG